UCCUCCUACACUACUGAAGCUGAUGCUC
rnacentral:piRNA from 1 species